rnacentral:rRNA from 1 species
UACGGAGGGGGCUAGCGUUGUUCGGAAUUACUGGGCGUAAAGCGCACGUAGGCGGCUUUGUAAGUUAGAGGUGAAAGCCCGGGGCUCAACUCCGGAAUUGCCUUUAAGACUGCAUCGCUAGAAUUGUGGAGAGGUAAGUAGAAUUCCGAGUGUAGAGGUCAAAUUCGUAGAUAUUCGGAAGAACACCAGUGGCGAAGGCGACUUACUGGACACAUAUUGACGCUGAGGUGCGAAAGCGUGGGGAGCAAACAGG